rnacentral:rRNA from 1 species
AACGAACGCUGGCGGCGUGCCUAACACAUGCAAGUCGUGCGGGAAAGUGGGGGUAACGUCCAUGAGUACAGCGGCGCACGGGUGAGUAACACGUAGGUAACCUGCCUUCGAGACUGGGAGUAACCUGUCGAAAGACGGGCUAAUACCAGAUAAGACCACGGCAGCUUCGGCUGCUGCGGCAAAAGGUGGCCUCUGCUUGCAAGCUAUCACUCGAAGAUGGGCCUGCGCGCCAUUAGCUAGUUGGUGGGGUAACGGCCCACCAAGGCAAAGAUGGCUAGCUGGUCUGAGAGGAUGGCCAGCCACACUGGGACUGAGACACGGCCCAGACUCCUACGGGAGGCAGCAGU